AUGAAGAGAAGAUUUUCAACUGGGGCAGAGGAAUCCACCAUCUUCUUAGAAAAUUGGAACAAGGAUACAUUUUUUCCAAAUCAGCCACAGAGAUUACCUGCCACAGUGAAGACUGGAAUCCAGAGGAAGGCAAAGAAAUACCUGGAUGACCUAAGCAGUUGUGUCAUAGAAGACUCAAGAAUGAGACAGUUGUUUCACUCUUCAAAUAUGUUAAGGAAAGACAGAAUUAUGCAGAUUAUGCAGAACUUCAUCUGGACCUGUUGGAGAGAACUACCACCACCCAGAAUUCCUGAGCUUCCAUCUGAGGCCGUAAUAAAUGAGGCCAUAAUUAUUUUCCCUGGCAUUCAGAAAGAAUCCCAAGGGAAUUGUGUAUGGCAAGAAAGCAUAUACAUGGAUAGUUAGGAGGCCAGAGUAGCAAAUUACUAGCUGCCCCCAAAUACUGCCCUCAUAUUUUAAUAAGCAUCCAACUAGAAACUUCAUUUUCCAGCCUCCAGUAGAAUGUGUAUAGAAGCAAUGUGUGCAUUCUGAAACUUCACUGUUACUUUGUUGAAAAGAAAUAUCUUGCUCUGGACUUCUCCCCUUUUCAUGACAUAAAACACAGCCAUGUUAAAUGGAAUAUGAGUCCCUAAAGAUUGUCCUUUAUGAAACAUAGCUGCCCCUAUCACACUGACCUGGACUGACCAAAGUGUUACCCGAAAAGUAAUCUCUAUGUUACUCAAACCAUUUUAUUUCUAGUUCCCUUUGUUACAACAGCUUAGCCUUUGCCAUGACUAAUAUAUCAUUCACAUUUCUUUCCCUUUGUAAGGACUAUGA
rnacentral:lncRNA from 1 species